UACGGAGGGAGCUAGCGUUGUUCGGAAUUACUGGGCGUAAAGCGCACGUAGGCGGCUUUGUAAGCCAGAUGUGAAAUCCCCGGGCUCAACCUGGGAAUGGCAUUUGGGACUGCAAGGCUGGAGUACGGCAGAGGAGACUGGAAUUCCUGGUGUAGCAGUGAAAUGCGUAGAUAUCAGGAGGAAUACCGAUGGCGAAGGCAGGUCUCUGGGCUGAUACUGACGCUCAUGCACGAAAGCGUGGGGAGCAAACAGG
rnacentral:rRNA from 1 species